CUAUUGCCUGCAGUUCUAUCGUUUAUGUAACAUAUUUUUUUCUAUUGCCAGAGGAACUCGUGUGGAUAUAUAAAUACAUAUCUAAUGGAAUUUCAUUGUGUUCUUUCAUGUAUAUAGAUAUUAUUAACUGAUAUCGUUGAAAUUAAUUAAAAUUCAGUUUAACAUAGAAAUGCGAAGAAAUUGAUAUAGAAAAAUGAGUUUUUUAUAAUCAGUCAUAAAAUAGUCAUCAGAAUGAAAUUAUUCGAGGUGUAAAGAAAUGAUAAGAAUACCCUCUUGAUUCUAUCAGAAUGUGAUUGGUGUCAAUAAGGGAUAAAAUUUACAUGGAAAUAAUUCACGUUUCGACGAACAUAAAAGAAGAAUCAUUGUUCUGGAAGUUUUACCUUUUUUCGGAAUGUUUUUCUCCACAUUUUUGUUGACCGUGAUACUCGUCACGUAUUCAAAAAUACCAUCACCUGCUUAUUUUCCUAGUUUUGGUUUCCUUCGUUUCUUUCUAUCGAAUGUUCUCAAGGACGGGAGGAGAGGAACGAGAGUGAAGUAGAAGGGUCAUGAAUGAGAGAUAUCUAAUGCCAAUUCAGCAAUUACCAUGGGCAUUGAACACACGUGCCUGUUGCAACGUUCGUGACGCUGACUGUUGCAUCAAAAUGAUGACAUAUCAGUAGAUGUCGGGGAUAGACUUGUUUUUUUCUCGGAAGAGAUCAUUGGAGAUUUUUCAAUACGCAAUUCACGAGGAGGAGCACGGCGGAUAUAAAAAAUAGAUGUGAAUGAGAGAAACUGAUGAUUGAUUCGUUAAUAACUUUUUUUUUCACGUUCGGAACAUUUUCGAUGGCAGAGAAAAGAUGCUGCCGGCACAGCUAACGGCGUUUGGAACUUUAGUGCGACCAACGGAGUGGUAAUUUUCUCCUCUUUCUGUCUGAAUAUCUUCUUGAAUGAACAGACACUAGAACAAAGGACGUCAGGCACCAGUCACUCGUGCCGACAAGUGAGGAGAAGUAUUCCGCGGAAAAGUGAAUUUUUCAGUCGACCACAUCAGAGAAAACUCGAACUCCUGGAAGGAUGAGAGUUCUCACUUUUCAUCAUCUUGAAAGCCGUCCAAUGAAGCCGAAAAUUCCCUGAAGUGAGUGAAAUUUGGAAGAACAACCGGGAAAAUCCUCUCUCCUCGAUUGAAUUUCACAGCGAGGCUUUGAAGGGUAUCUAAGGAUCAUCUACAAUUCGUUGCAUAUGAUGCUAUACAACAUAGGUUUUCAAUUAUAGAAGUAAUAUGAAAUCGAAAGAUUGAAAUAGCUAAUAUGCAAUUCAUUCACAUGGCCUAAAGAACAAUAAUAUCAGGGCAAAUAAAUUAAAAUAAAUAAUCAAAAUAUAAACGUGAAAAUUAUGACUCUGAAGAAUUGAAUUCUAUUAAGUUGUAUUUUGAAAAUAAGCCAAGACCGGGUGGCUUAUCACCGGCUUCUGAUUAUUACGAGAAUAUUCAAAUAAAACUGGUGUAAUCCUUAAA